UUGAACGCUGGCGGCAGGCUUAACACAUGCAAGUCGAGCGGGGGAAGGUAGCUUGCUACCGGACCUAGCGGCGGACGGGUGAGUAAUGCUUAGGAAUCUGCCUAUUAGUGGGGGACAACAUCUCGAAAGGGAUGCUAAUACCGCAUACGUCCUACGGGAGAAAGCAGGGGAUCUUCGGACCUUGCGCUAAUAGAUGAGCCUAAGUCGGAUUAGCUAGUUGGUGGGGUAAAGGCCUACCAAGGCGACGAUCUGUAGCGGGUCUGAGAGGAUGAUCCGCCACACUGGGACUGAGACACGGCCCAGACUCCUACGGGAGGCAGCAGUGGGGAAUAUUGGACAAUGGGGGGAACCCUGAUCCAGCCAUGCCGCGUGUAUGAAGAAGGCCUUAUGGUUGUAAAGCACUUUAAGCGAGGAGGAGGCUACUUUAGUUAAUACCUAGAGAUAGUGGACGUUACUCGCAGAAUAAGCACCGGCUAACUCUGUG
rnacentral:rRNA from 1 species